rnacentral:rRNA from 1 species
UACGUAGGGGGCAAGGCGUUGUCCGGAUUUAUUGGGCGUAAAGAGCAGUGUAGGCGGCCAGGGUAGGUGGGUUGUGAAACUGGAGGCUCAACCUUCAGAGGAUCGACCCAAAGCCCCCUGGCCUAGAGUCCGGAAGAGGGAGAGUGGAAUUCCUGGUGUAGGCGGUGAAAUGCGCAGAGUAUCAAGGAAGAACACCCGUGGCGA